AGAGUUUGAUCCUGGCUCAGAGUGAACGCUGGCGGCGUGCCUAACACAUGCAAGUCGAACGAUGAUGGAGGAGCUUGCUCUUCCUGAUUAGUGGCGCACGGGUGAGUAACGCAUAGGUAAUGUGCCCCUUAGUUCGGGAUAGCCACUGGAAACGGUGAUUAAUACCGGAUACUCCUUCUCAUUAUAAGAUGAGUCGGGAAAGUUUUUCGCUAAGGGAUCAGCCUAUGUCCUAUCAGCUAGUUGGUGAGGUAAUGGCUCACCAAGGCAAUGACGGGUAUCUGGUUUGAGAGGAUGAUCAGACACACUGGAACUGAGACACGGUCCAGACUCCUACGGGAGGCAGCAGUGAGGAAUAUUGCACAAUGGAGGAAACUCUGAUGCAGCAACGCCGCGUGGAGGAUGACGCAUUUCGGUGUGUAAACUCCUUUUAAGAGGGAAGAUUAUGACGGUACCUCUUGAAUAAGCACCGGCUAACUCCGUGCCAGCAGCCGCGGUAA
rnacentral:rRNA from 1 species